rnacentral:rRNA from 1 species
GAUGAACGCUAGCUACAGGCUUAACACAUGCAAGUCGAGGGACCGGCGCACGGGUGAGUAACACGUAUCCAACCUGCCCUUUACUCGGGGAUAGCCUGUCGAAAGAAAGAUUAAUACCAGAUGUAAAGGAUGGGGGUGCGUUCCAUUAGGUUGUUGGUGAGGUAACGGCUAACCAAGCAUUCGAUGGAUGGGGGUUCUGAGAGGAAGGUCCCCCACAUUGGAACUGAGACACGGUCCAAACUCAUACGGGAGGCAGCAGGGAGGAAUAUUGGUCAAUGGGCGUUAGCCUGAACCAGCCAAGUAGCGUGAAGGAUGAAGGCUUAUGGGUCGUAAACUUCUUUUAUAUAAGAAUAUGUAUUAUAUGAAUAAGGAUCGGCUAACUCCGUGCCAGCCGCCGCGGUAAUUC